UCUGCUCCUUCCCCGCCCAUUCCCACCGGACACCAACCACCUGUCGCUCCCACUCUUACUCCGAACCUCCCUCGCCCCCUCGCACACUCACUGCGCCGACGGCCCGACGCGGCGGCUUCGUUGUCUAAUCUCAGGUGCUACACCCACUGAACGCGGGCGGAGAUGGCCGAUUGCGCUACCGGAGACAAGAGAAGCUCGACCCCGGAGACCGCCAUGUCGUUACGCUGCGGCCGGUAGGGGAUAUGCGGGGACCUCAAGGAUGACGAUGAGUGCCCGUCUGCUUCGGUGACAACGAACAGCAGAGGUGAGCAUUUCGCUCUCCAGCUUCGCCCUAUUAGGAGGAAUUCUGCCGGCUGCUGUAGUACUUGCAGAAUUCGGCUGAUUUCUUAUUUAAGUUCGGCUGAGAUUUUUCUUUAAGGAAAAAAAAAAGAAGAAGAAACGGCAAUAGCAUCGUAGUCUGCAUUAGGGCCUCUGUUGUGCGUGAAUUUGACACAUUGCAGUAGUAGAACUUGGACUGCAAAUUACUGCCGGUCAAUGAAUUUUGUUUGUUUAGUUUUUUCCUUCUUUUUUUGGUAUACCAAGCUUGGUGAUGUUUGAAUUUUAGAUGAAGUGCCAAAUUUUUCACGAACUUUCAUGUUGGCAACUAGUAAGUAGUAAGUACUAAAUAGUAACAUUGAAAUGCACUUAGCCACUCAGGCCAUUCUGAAAAUGCUCUAUUAUCUGUAUCUGUAUGUGUAUGUCAGACAACUUUGGAGUGCGCUACCGCUAAAAGUUCAGCUACAAUUCCUUUUGAGCUGCUGCAGAAACUACCUUAUCUCUGAAUGAUUUUCCUCUGUCAGGAUCUAAGUUUUGAGUAAUAAGGCUAAGAUACAGGGAAAAGUACAGAACCAAAUCCACUAAUCUGUUCAUAUCACAGUUUAUGGACCUGAACUGACGAACCGUUUGGUGACAUUGCUGUUGGUUACGAGUAUUAAAACAUUAAUAUCUGAUAAUAAUAACCUUUGUACAGAAACUAUGUGAUCUCUUGAAUCAAUCGAAAAGGAAACAUGGAAUUUUCUUUUCUCCUGACAACUAAUGGCAUCAAUGGCACCUGUAAUGACUUCCCUAUAUAAGUUUAUGCUCAUAUUGUAAGGUUUUCUUGGAUAUUCAUAAACGAGCCGCAGAUGUUCCCGCCGAGGUCUGGAAACGUGGCGCACCCGGGCAGAGGGUUCACCUUGCCAUCGGGAUCGACACUAACGGGGUACUUGAGCAGAUGGCCCUUCAUCUUAGUCACAUGGCUGGAGAAAAAUUGAUCCCAGUUCUUCUGCCCAAUGUGCCGCACUUGCCUCAUGCACUCCAGGCUUUCCGGCCUGGUGAAGCUCUCCUCAAUGGCUCCGAUGUGCUCCGCCCAUAGAGACAUCCUGUACCCGAAAAUCUGCAGGUAAAAACACAGUGAGCACAGUUAAUUCCUCUAUAUGUGAAAAUAUGUAUGUCUCCAGUGUAUUCUUGAAAGGAAAAUAACAUCCAAAAUACAGUGCAACCUUCUUUCUCUCACUUUGCCACAGUAAAUAUGAUACUGUAGAUGACACCACGGCAUACCAAGUUACCAACUUAUCAGAACUGAAGCUCAUUACCUGUCCACGAGGGGCAGAAAGCGUAUUUGCCCAUGUGUGUUGUGGUUGGUAUGCACCCAUUGCAAUCUCUGUAUCUCUGGUUCCUUCCAUGGACCUCUGGUUGAUGUUAGCUGAUCCAAUGAUCACAUACUCAUCAUCCACAAUCAUUCCUUUCGAGUGCACAUAAACCAUGAAUCUCCCGUUCUUCCGAGAUUGGUCCUGAUUGAUUGUACAAGUUGAGAGAGAGCGAGAAACAUGAAUUCUGCAUAUUGUAUUCUUUCUUUAUUUUUUUUCUUUAGAAAAAUGCAGCCUGCAGCUUGGCCACUUGCAAGUGCGCCACAAUCAGCAGUAGAAAACAGAACUCCAACCUGCAGUCUCACCUGUGGGUUGCUGGCUGAGAAUGUUCCGCUGGAAGAGCAAGAAGUGUCCUCAGCUUCACGAUUACCAAGGCAGAAGAAGUUCAGGGAUUAACAUAAUUUGGAGUGGUGGACACAAUACGGGAGUGACAUGGGAGUGUGUGAGAUCCAAGUAUGUGUUCAGGACUCCAGAUCAAAAGGGAAAAGAAAUUUUAUGCUCACCGAUAUCUUUAUUCGAAUCCCAGUUGAAUGAAGAACCAAGAAAAUACUGGUUCUCAAUGUAGAUGAAAUGUUGGGCACCUCGGAUUGCAUUCACGUAAGCUGUAUGCACGCUCAUAUCAAUCAGUACAUUUUUCCCACAAACAAGAUUCUGUUGACCAAAGCAAAAGUUACCUUACUGGUGGCUUCUCGUGGGUCUUUCGGAAAACCCUUGACAGAGUUCGAAUCAAUUGAUCGGAAAAUCUGCUUUCCAAGUAAAAUUUGCUCAGGGCUCUACCAGAUGACUGGAAAAUUUGCUUUGCAAUUAACAAUGGAAUACUUUGCAAGACUUACCUGAACAUCCCAUCUCUCUGGAUCAUUGUCAUUUGAAUAGACUUCAUCGUCAAUAGUUGCAAUAUCAGUUUUUCAGGACAUCAUAUGCUGCCGGACCGUCGAUCUUGGAAUGCAGGUCAUGCCAUGGCUCUCUUGGGCCACGGGCAUCUUCUACCUGCAAGGAAGUGUUUUAUGAGGAUCUAACAAAUUGCAACAAAGCUCCAAGACCAUUGCAUAAAGUCAACAGCUAGGUCAGUUGAAGACGAUAUAUGUGAGAAAGAAUAUCCACCGCAAAGUUUGGGUUGUAAUAGUCCUCCUUGUGAAAUGUGUGGAGAGUCCGAAAUAGAGUAUGUCUUGGUGUGUCAUAUCGCCCUCCGCAUAAAUCAAGGCCUCCUACAAAAGCAACGAUCUUCCUUCUAUGGUUGUCGGCAUCAGCAUCCACGAUUACCGUUUUCUGAUGAUGAGUGAAUAUAGUCCCUGUUUCCUGAAACCAAUAGUUACCAUCAGUGCACAUUGCAAAGGAAGGAUGGAGGUUGUAUGCAUGCAUAAUCUUAUAUGAUCGUCAGAAUAGUGAGGCCGGAUAAGACCUGUUGCUUCACCCAGCUGUGCCUUUUCCCAGCAGAUCGUGGGCAAAGCAGUAUCUGAACUGAAGAAUGCUUGAAAAAUCUACGUGUCUCUUCAUCCCGCGUGCCCAUGUAGCCUUCCUACAUAUAGGAAUGGCAAUGAGCAGCAAACAAGUUUUGUUCAGAUUCUAGAACUUGGCAUAUAGUACCAUUGUUUCAUACAUGGACAUAUUCAUGAA